GUAGUAUAUUUUUGAUGUAAAGUCAGACAUCUGUAGGUCUGCCCUCUUCUGAGCUUUUAUCCUUGGCCCUUCUCGGGAACACGGUUGAUGCUUUAAUCUAGUUGCACUCCACACUCAUAACGUUUCAGUGCCACGGAUAGUCUCUGUCACACAGGAACAAACUUGCGCUCUGUGCUUAAAGAGAGCGAAUAAUUGUUUUCAUCCCAUGAGCCCCUGCUUUUGCUGCUGUGGGGUCCGCGUCAGCCUUACCGAGCAGGCAACCUGCGUGUGCCACGGUCCCUGCAUUUCCAAAGAAAGAGGAAGGAUUCUUUUCCUUCUUUCUGUUUUCAUUUUAAUGAUUACGGUUUGUAUGUUGGUCCUUCUUCGUUUUCAGGGCAGGGAGGCUCUCUCCUUUUUAUUUUGUUUAUUCAGUUGUAAUCUUGGGGAUUGUUUUCUGACCUGCGAUUUAUCUGGUUUCCUUUCAAUAAAACCUUCCAUUUCUGCAAUUUUA
rnacentral:lncRNA from 1 species